GACAGAGGGUGCAAACGUUGUUCGGAAUUACUGGGCGUAAAGCGCGCGUAGGCGGCUUUGUAAGUCAGAGGUGAAAGCCUGGAGCUCAACUUCAGAAUUGCCUUUAAGACUGCAUCGCUUGAAUCCGGGAGAGGUGAGUGGAAUUCCGAGUGUAGAGGUGAAAUUCGUAGAUAUUCGGAAGAACACCAGUGGCGAAGGCGGCUCACUGGACCGGCAUUGACGCUGAGGUGCGAAAGCGUGGGGAGCAAACGGG
rnacentral:rRNA from 1 species